rnacentral:rRNA from 1 species
CAGCAGCCGCGGUAAUACGAAGGGGGCUAGCGUUGUUCGGAUUUACUGGGCGUAAAGCGCACGUAGGCGGACUUUUAAGUCAGGGGUGAAAUCCCGGGGCUCAACCCCGGAACUGCCUUUGAUACUGGAAGUCUUGAGUAUGGUAGAGGUGAGUGGAAUUCCGAGUGUAGUGGUGAAAUUCGUAGAUAUUCGGAGGAACACCAGUGGCGAAGGCGGCUCACUGGACCAUUACUGACGCUGAGGUGCGAAAGCGUGGGGAGCAAACAGGAUUAGAUACCCCGGUAGUCCCUGUCUCUUAUAA